rnacentral:rRNA from 1 species
UACGAAGGGGGCUAGCGUUGUUCGGAUUUACUGGGCGUAAAGCGUGCGCAGGCGGUCUGUUAAGACCGAUGUGAAAUCCCCGGGCUUAACCUGGGAACUGCAUUGGUGACUGGCAGGCUUUGAGUGUGGCAGAGGGAGGUAGAAUUCCACGUGUAGCAGUGAAAUGCGUAGAGAUGUGGAGGAAUACCGAUGGCGAAGGCAGCCUCCUGGGCCAACACUGACGCUCAUGCACGAAAGCGUGGGGAGCAAACAGG